UACGGAGGGUGCAAGCGUUAUCCGGAUUCACUGGGUUUAAAGGGUGCGUAGGCGGCCUUGUAAGUCUGUUGUGAAAGGCGCCGGCUCAACCGGACGGACUGCAAUGGAUACUGCGGGGCUUGAAUCAGGUUUAGGUGGGCGGAAUACGGCAUGUAGCGGUGAAAUGCUUAGAUAUGCCGUGGAACACCGAUUGCGAAGGCAGCUCACUGGGCCUUGAUUGACGCUGAGGCACGAAAGCGUGGGGAGCGAACAGG
rnacentral:rRNA from 1 species